GCCCGCGUUGCUUCACGGAGAGGAAGCGGGGAGUAGGAGAAGGAGGGAGGCGUGGGAAGGGAGGCGGAGAUGGAGUGAACUACUCUCCAGCUACCUCUCGGACCUUCUUCUCCUUCCUGGCGUUGUUCGGGUUUGGAUGCUAUGAGAAUAGUGUGACGAGUAGGUCAAGCGCACACCAUGCAAGUACACGCUCAUACAUAUAAUCUCUCAACUAAGGCUGCAUUUGGCAUUGAGAUUAUAAAAUAAGUUCAGCACAGCACAGUUCAGCAAUGCCAAACUAAGCAUAAAUCUUUUACAAGUGUAACAGCUAUAACUCGUUUGAGUAUUAAAAACAUUGUUGUUUCCCAGUUAA